rnacentral:rRNA from 1 species
CCAGACUCCUACGGGAGGCAGCAGUGGGGGAUAUUGCACAAUGGGGGAAACCCUGAUGCAGCGACGCCGCGUGAGUGAAGAAGUAUUUCGGUAUGUAAAGCUCUAUCAGCAGGGAAGAAAAUGACAGUACCUGACCAAGAAGCCCCGGCUAACUACGUGCCAGCAGCCGCGGUAAUACGUAGGGGGCAAGCGUUAUCCGGAUUUACUGGGUGUAAAGGGAGCGUAGACGGUUAUGUAAGUCUGGAGUGAAAGCCCGGGGCCCAACCCCGGGACUGCUUUGGAAACUGUGUAACUGGAGUACAGGAGGGGCAGGCGGAAUUCCUGGUGUAGCGGUGAAAUGCGUAGAUAUCAGGAGGAACACCGGCGGCGAAGGCGGCUUACUGGACUGUAACUGACGUUGAGGCUCGAAAGCGUGGGGAGCAAACAGGAUUAGAUACCCCCGUACC